CCGUGGAGCGGGAGGACCCCGCGGCGCCCCUCCGACUGCGGCCCCGACGCACCGCGCUCGCUGCGUGCGCUCGUUGCGUGCCCCGCGCGACUUCUAGUCCCUGGGAAAGGGAGGUGGCCGUACCGGGGAAAAGGCACUAGAAAAGCAGAAAUUUACAGUCCUGGAUUAAUGUCUGUGUGGUCUGGAAUUCUGCAGGUGAAAAGCACUUUGGCGUUAGUCCAUGGCACACACAAGGAGAUAACAACUGGAAACUCUAGACAAUAAAACAACCACCUGAGGAGUAAAGAGAGUGGACAGAAGUACACAGAAGCAAAAUGCAUAAUAAAAGAACUGAAACAAGAGUUGAGGUCUUACCCACUAUAUACAAGUUAAAAUUUUCAAGUAUACGCUAAGUUAAUUUCUUGC